GAUGAACGCUGGCGGCGUGCCUAAUACAUGCAAGUCGAACGAGGUGCUUUUGUAGCAAUACGAGGGUAUCCUAGUGGCGAACGGGUGAGUAACGCGUUGGUGACCUGCCCCGAGGUGUGGGAUAACAGUCCGAAAGGAUUGCUAAUACCGCAUGUGGCCAUCGGGUUUAGAAACCGAUGUCUAAAGCAGCAAUGCGCUUUGGGAGGGACCUGCGUCCCAUCAGCUAGUUGGUGAGGUAACGGCUCACCAAGGCGACGACGGGUAGGGGGCCUGAGAGGGUGGCCCCCCACAAUGGAACUGAAACACGGUCCAUACACCUACGGGUGGCAGCAGUAGGGAAUAUUGCACAAUGGGCGAAAGCCUGAUGCAGCAACGCCGCGUGAGCGAAGAAGGCCUUCGGGUCGUAAAGCUCUUUUCUGGGAGAUGAGAAAGGACAGUAUCCCAGGAAUAAGUCUCGGCUAACUACGUGCCAGCCGCCGCAGUAACAC
rnacentral:rRNA from 1 species